CUUAAGUUGAAUAGUCAAAUAGAUGUUUUGGAUUAUUGGAGCAAAAGUUCAGUUCGAUAUAGUGAGCUUUCAUUAUUGGCUCGUGAUCUUUUGACAAUUCCAAUAUCGACUGUAGCUUCCGAAUCGGCUUUUAGCAUGGGUAAGAAAGUUAUCACACCUUUGAGGAGUUCACUUAAGCCAAAAAUGGUUCAAGCCGUUGUUUGCCUUAACGAUUGGAUGCGAGCUAAGGGAUUUUCAACGGGUAAUUAUUAUUAUCGUUUUAUUGUUGUAAUUUUAUAUUAUUUUUUAUCAAUUUGAUAAUCUAAUUAUUUAUUUUUAUUUCAUGUUAAAAAUUAGUGACAAGAAUGAUGAUGACGAUGAGGAUGAUGUUUCUUUAAUUGCUUUUUAAAUUACCUUCCUUUCUAAUUGUUGACAAUUUAAUUUAACUUACAAUUUAUAGUUUGUUAUAAAAUUAUAUAUGUUAAUUGGUUAAUGUAUAGAUAUUUUGGUUGGUUGAUUAUAUUUUACAGGUUUUUGGUGUUGUUUUAGUGGUGUUGGUGAUGCUGUUUUUUCUAUUGUUUUGAUAUUAUAAAACUUUUAUUUUAUUAUUAAUUUGGUUAUUAUUUUAGUUCUAACUUCUUUAAAUUUUAAUAUAAGUACUUUUUAUUAUAUUUUUAAUUUGUGUAGUAUUUUAAGAAUUAUUUUAGUAUUAUUUUUUAUUUUUUUUUUGUUUUAAUAUUUAUUUUUAUGUUUUUAAAUGAUUUGAUUUAUUAUUUUUUAAUUUUUUUAUUUAAUAAAAAAGCUAAAAAAAAUUAAUAUAGGUCGGGCCGGGCCUGGCUCGGGCUUACCAAUUUUAUUUUAGGCCAGGCUUGGACAAUUUUUUAAGCCCAUAUUUCGGGUCGGGCCGGGCACGGGCAUUAAAAACGGGCCUAAAAUUUUGUCUUGGCCCGGCUCAAACCCAGCCCAUCCCGGCCCAUGCUCAGCUCUACAUGGAUCCUAGUAAUCUUAGUUUACAGACCGAGAUUAAUAACUUCUAUAGGAAAUUGUGGAAAUUAUACAUCCCUUCAAAAGUUACAUUAACAUUAUGGAGAAUAUCUUGGAAUUUCAUCCCUUCAUUGGUUAAUCUCAAGCAGAAGAAAGUAGUAGAAAAUGCUCUUUGCCAUCGCUGCCGACAAAAUGAGGAAGACAAUUAUCAUAUUUUUCAGCAAUGUCCUACGUCAAGAGAGGUCUGGAAUCAUUUACAACUCUCAUGGGUACUUAACUGUAAUUAUCAAACUAUAUGGGAAUGGCUUACCUGGGUUUUUAGUUAGAGAAUGACUGAACAGAUUCGUUGUUUUUGCUGCGGCCUUUGGCUAGUCUGGUUCAACAGAAAUCGGGUAAUAUAUGAUAAAAUAAAUGUGUCACGGAGGGACAUUGCGAAGCAAACUCACAGUUAUAUUUCUGAGUUGAACGGGAUCAAAGGGAUGAGACUUACUGCUCAGUCUACUGAAGGAGCGAUACAGGAAAGAAGAAGAUCAGAAGUCACAAUCUCUUUCGACGCGGCCUUUGACCAACAAGUCUUCAGACAUUGUUAGUACACGACGCAGAAGGAAAAAUUUUAGCAUCCAAAACGACCAUCCACUCCGAAAUCGCAAAUCCAUUUGUGGCAGAGGCUCAUGUAGGGUUACAAGCAGUCAAGUUAGGGAUAUUCUUGGGGCUUAAUAAACUAGAAAUUUUGGGAGAUUCAAAGACCGUAAUUAAAAAAUGCCAGAGCAUAAAUACAGACAAAUCGAACAUCGGUGCGAUUAUCAGAGAUAUUCAACAUAAGAAAGACAGUUUUCAAGAGAUAAAGUUUCACUUCAUACCCAGAACAGAAAAUUUUCAUGCUCAUACUCUAGCGAAAAAGGCGUUAAAGAGAGGAGAUGACCAUUACCUGGUAGGAGAACUUCCAGAAUUUGCUCGCCAAACUUUGGAGGAAUGGAGGCCUAGAGAACCGAAUUGAGAGAAAAUGAAGAUUAAUGAUUGUUUGAAAGAGGUAGUAGGAAAAAUUAAUUGAUUCCCUUGGAAACUGCUACCGUCAUAAUGUUGGAGAGGACGUGAAAUGACAUUACACUGAAGGGCCAGCUGUCAAUUUGACUGGGCAAGUUUAUUAGGUUUCCUUUUUGUUUUCUUUUCGAAUUCACGAACCAUUUUACUUUCAUUAGGCCGGCUUUGCUAUAUGUGCAGGCUUUGAAUUUUACUUGGGUUAUUUUCUUGGACCUAACCCACUGACGAUAGCAGUUUCCAAGGGAAUCAAUUAAU
rnacentral:lncRNA from 1 species